GUGCCAGCAGCCGCGGUGAGACGGUAGGGGGCAAGCGUUGUCCGGAUUACUGGGCGUAAAGGGCGUGUAGGCGGUGCGAUACGUAGCGGUUUUUAGCCUCCGGCUCACCCGGAGGAGGGCGGCUAAACGGUCGCACUGGAGGGCAGGAGAGGUGCGUGGAAUUCCUGGUGGAGCGGUGAAAUGGGUAGAGAUCAGGAAGAACACCAGUGGCGAAGGCGGCGCACUGGCCUGACCCUGACGCUGAGGCGCGACAUGUGGGGGAGCAAACGGGAUUAGAUACCCCGGUAGUCCACGCCGUAAACGAUGGAUACUAGGUGUCGUGGGGGUCCACCCUGCGGUGCCGGAGCUAACGCACUAAGUAUCCCGCCUGGGGAGUACGGCCGCAAGGUUGAAACUCAAAGGAAUUGACGGGGGCCCGCACAAGCAGUGGAGCAUGUGGUUUAAUUCGACGCAACGCGCAGAACCUUACCAGGACUGGACAGGCACGUGAGCCCGCGAAAGCGGCGGGCCUUCGGGGAGCGUGCUCAGGUGCUGCAUGGUUGUCGUCAGCUCGUGUCGUGAGAUGUUGGGUUAAGUCCCGCAACGAGCGCAACCCUUGUCGUGUGUUGCCAGCGGUUCGGCCGGGCACUCACACGAGACUGCCGGUGACAAACCGGAGGAAGGUGGGGAUGACGUCAAAUCCGCAUGGCCUUUAUGUCCUGGGCUACACACGUGCUACAAUGGUCCCGACAACGGGCCGCGACCGCGCGAGCGGGAGCGAAUCCUUCAAACGGGAUCUCAGUUCGGAUUGCAGGCUGCAACUCGCCUGCAUGAAGCCGGAAUUGCUAGUAAUCGCCCAUCAGCAUGGGGCGGUGAAUUCGUUCCCGGGCCUUGUACACACCCCCCGUCGCACCACGAGAGUUGGCCACACCCGAAGCCGGUCGGCCGA
rnacentral:rRNA from 1 species